rnacentral:tRNA from 2 species
GUCCCGUUAGCUCAGUUGGUAGAGCACUUGACUUUUAAUCAAGGUGUCAAAGGUUCGAGUCCUUUACGGGAUACCA